ensembl:lncRNA novel transcript
GGUCAGUAUGUUCUGUUUGGGAAAUACUGAAAUGUGCAACACAAGCUAGAAAUAACAACAUGCAGAACAGCACAACUUUGUAAGACCCGCGCUGAAGGAGGCAGCAUUUGUGUGAGAGCGCCCGGCGCUGCCCAGAAGAGCUGGAACGCCCAAGGAAGGCCGCUGCUCAGCGCAGGACCCCUGGGCUCCCGGAAACGGGAUAGCGUUGCUUAUCUUUAAGGCAUAAGGAAGCCUGGCUGUUGCCAGCCUCUCACCUGCAGAAGAUGCACCUCAUAGCACCCUGGACAGGUGAACCAAGACACAUCACUGAAGUGCCAAUACAUGCACCCCUGAGGGCCCAAAGCCAACCUGAGGGCUCUGCCUGCCUGGCUCCCUGCACCCGAGUCCCCAGAAACGUGCUCACAGCACAGGGAGCUCCAGAGCCCAAGCCUCGGAGUGUUGGAAAACAACAUCAACAUGAGAAAUGGGUGCUAGGAGUACCUUUGUAGGUGACAUUAAAAUGCUUACAUUAGAUAGCAGAGAUGAGACCAAAGAAACUGGGGGGAGGGGGUGCCCCCAGCCCUGACACUGUGGGCCUUUGCCUGUAUGCAGCCUUUGCCCUGCAAGGGACAGCAGCUUCCUCUGCCUAUAAUACCUGCAAGCCUCCCAUUCUCAUGGAGUGCUUCCUUUUGGCUUUUUGCUUUUAGGUUUCUUUUGUUUGUUUUUAAUUUUAAGAAUAACCUGUUUGGAGAGCUGGGCAUGGGGGCUUGUUCCUAUAGUACCAGCUUCUCAGAAGGCUGAGGCAGAAGGAUCACUUAAGCCUAAGAGUUUGAGACCAGCUCUCAUAUAGUGAGACCUUGUCUCUAAAGAAAAGAAAGAAAAAGAACCUGUUUGGACACACAAAAUCUAACUUUUCCCCCUCUCUUCCUGAUCCCUUUCCAGCAGUGCUUUGGGGCUGAGCAGUAAAAUCCAAAAGAGAUUCAGUUGGGUAAAAUACUAAAAUCUAGCCAGGCACAGUGGCUUGCACCUGUAACCCCAGCACUUUGGGAGGCUAAGGCGGGAGGAUCACUUGAACCCAGGAGUUUGAGACCAGCCUGGGCAAAAUAGUGAGACCGUGUCUCUAUAAAAAAAUUUAAAAAUUAGCAAGGCAUGGUAGCAUGCACCUGUAGUCCCAGCUACCUGGGAGGCUGAGGUGAGAGGAUCGCUUCAGCCUGAGAGGUCAAGGCUGCAGUGAGCUGUGGUUAUGCCUCUGCACUCUAGCCUGGGAGACAGAGCAAGACCCCGUCUCAGGAAGAAAAAAAAAAGUCUGCUCUCCCUGCAAAUCGCGUGUGCUGGUGAUGAGGGAGGCAUGUGCAGUUCGUGAAAAAAUAGGGUUUCUGAUUUUCCACUCCUCAGGUACAGGGUGGGUGGGCCUGGGACUCCUGGUGAAGCCCUCUACAGGCAGGGUCAUAUCCUACCCUCAGGCUGGUGGGCAGGGCACACUCCACCCUCAGGCUGGUGGGCAGG